rnacentral:rRNA from 1 species
CAGCAGCCGCGGUAAUACGAAGGGUGCAAGCGUUAAUCGGAAUUACUGGGCGUAAAGCGUGCGCAGGCGGUUCGCUAAGACAGAUGUGAAAUCCCCGGGCCUAACCUGGGAACUGCAUUUGUGACUGGCGGGCUAGAGUAUGGCAGAGGGGGGUAGAAUUCCACGUGUAGCAGUGAAAUGCGUAGAGAUGUGGAGGAAUACCGAUGGCGAAGGCAGCCCCCUGGGCCAAUACUGACGCUCAUGCACGAAAGCGUGGGGAGCAAACAGGAUUAGAUACCCCUGUAGUCCCUGUCUCUUAUAA